rnacentral:rRNA from 1 species
UACGUAGGGUGCGAGCGUUGUCCGGAAUUAUUGGGCGUAAAGGGCUCGUAGGCGGUCUGUCGCGUCGGGAGUGAAAACUCAGGGCUUAACCCUGAGCCUGCUUCCGAUACGGACAGACUAGAGGUAUGCAGGGGAGAACGGAAUUCCUGGUGUAGCGGUGGAAUGCGCAGAUAUCAGGAGGAACACCGGUGGCGAAGGCGGUUCUCUGGGCAUUACCUGACGCUGAGGAGCGAAAGUGUGGGGAGCGAACAGG